UACGGGGGGGGCAAGCGUUGUUCGGAAUUACUGGGCGUAAAGGGCGUGUAGGCGGCCAACUAAGUCCGACGUGAAAUCCCCAGGCUUAACCUGGGAACUGCGUCGGAUACUGGACGGCUUGAAUCCGGGAGAGGGAUGCAGAAUUCCAGGUGUAGCGGUGAAAUGCGUAGAUAUCUGGAGGAAUACCGGUGGCGAAGGCGGCAUCCUGGACCGGCAUUGACGCUGAAGCGCGAAAGCUAGGGGAGCAAACGGG
rnacentral:rRNA from 1 species